CAGACAAACCCUUAUUCCUAAGAGUGUAAUGAAGAAAACAUAAGGGUUAAACGGACGCUCCGGACAAAAUAUCCAAAAUAAACGGAACCAUCGAUAUGUCGUAACAUACUAUAUGGUGUAAGCGUUCCUCCUCGUCUCUUACAGCAAUCGUGUGGUCAUCUCAUGAGUAAGAUGUACUACAUGACCUUACUGGAAACCCCGUGACUGAUCAUCUUAGAAGAGGAAGUCGAGUUUGAUGAGAUGGACCCGUCCAAAAAAAAAGAGCUCUUCAGUCGUCCCUGUGGAGGAACGUUCCAUGUAGAACCCUACACCCAAGUGUUGUCAUCUCAACAGAGUUUAGAUGACCAGUUUUAGUUCACCCGGCAUCGCUGAAACACGUUCCGGAUCACUUAAAGUAAGGAGACGUCGAUUAAACGCUUACGGAAGGAGUCUCCAGCGUCGGCGCUUUGUAAAGCGGUAACAUUUCCAAAACCCUCAGGACAGAGGAGUUUAAGACGUGCGCGUUCUCUGUAACAGGAGAGAAAAUCGAGAGGAUGAGGAGGGGACGGCCGUUGACGUUUUGACGAAUGACCUUGUUUACGUGCAAGAAAUAUAACACUGUAAUCGUUGGCAAAUUUCUGUGGUGGAAGAAGAAUAACCCGUCGAAGGACGUGCUGUUCCUACAGAGGAAUGUGUUUUAUGCCUUUCUAAUCUCUUUAAUAGAGCAGCAGUGAAACCGUGCUUGAGAACCAUGAAUCAAGUCUCAUGUAGUGUAGCAUGCAUAGCAAAUAUAACCACGAAUGGGGCAGAUAUUUGUUUUUCCGAUCACUUGAAACCUCCCACCUCCUGUGUUAGAGAGAGACUGUCACUCACUUAAAACAAUAUCAUGUGGCAGAUCCUGCAUGACUACGACUUAACACUGUAUGAGCUACAGGAGUGACAACAAAACAAAACUGCUCAUUCUGUCAGAGAGAGAGAGAGAGAGAGAGAGAGAGAGAGAAGGAGAAAGCGAGAGAGAAAGAGAUUGAGAGAGCAAGAGAAAGAGAGAGAAAGAGAAAAAAGAGAAACAAGAGAAUGAGAAAGGGAGAGAAAGAGUGAGAGAGGGAGAAAGCGAGAGAGAGAGAGAGAACGAGAAAGAGAUAGAGAAAGAGAUUGAGAGAGCAAGAGAAAGAGAAAAAGAGAAACAGGAGAAUGAGAAAGGGAGAGAAAGAGUGAGAGAGGGUGAGGGGGAGAGAGAGAGAGAGAGAGAGAGAGAGAGAGAGAGAGAGAAGGAGAAAGCGAGAGAGAACGAGAAAGAGAUAGAGAAAGAGAGAGCGAGAGAAGAAGAGAGAAAGAGAUUGAGAGAGUAAGAGAAAGAGAGAGAAAGAGAAAAAGAGAAACAAGAGAAUGAGAAAGGGAGAGAAAGAGUGAGAGAGGGUGAGGGGGCGAGAGAGGAGAGAGAGAGAGAGGGAGAGGGUGAGGGAGAGAGAGCGAGAGAGGGAGACAGAGAGAGAGAGAAAGUGAGAGAGAGAGAACGAGAAAGAGAGAGCGAGAGAAGAAGAGAGAGAAAGAGAUUGAGAGAGCAAGAGAAAGAGAGAAGAGAGAGAAAGAGAAAAAAGAGAAUGAGAAAGGGAGAGAAAGCGAGAGAGAGAGAGAAACGAGAAAGAGAUAGAGAAAGAGAGAGCGAGAGAAGAAGAGAGAGAAAGAGAUUGAGAGAG
ensembl:lncRNA